rnacentral:rRNA from 1 species
CCUACGGGAGGCAGCAGUGAGGAAUAUUGGUCAAUGGGCGAGAGCCUGAACCAGCCAAGUCGCGUGAAGGAUGACGGCCCUACGGGUUGUAAACUUCUUUUGUCAGGGAGCAAUUGGGUCCACGCGUGGGCUUAGCGAGAGUACCUGAAGAAAAAGCAUCGGCUAACUCCGUGCCAGCAGCCGCGGUAAUACGGAGGAUGCGAGCGUUAUCCGGUUUUAUUGGGUUAAAGGGGUGCGUAGGCGGAAUAUCAAGUAGGGGGAAAAAUUCGGGGCUCAACCCCGUCGUGCCGUUGAAACUGAUGUUCUUGAGUGGGCGAGAAGUAUGCGGAAUGCGUGGUGUAGCGGUGAAAUGCAUAGAUAUCACGCAGAACUCCGAUUGCGAAGGCAGCAUACCGGCGCCCAACUGACGCUGAAGCACGAAAGCGUGGGUAUCGAACAGGAUUAGAUACCCUGGUAGUC